UACGUAGGCAGCGAGCGUUGUUCGGAAUUACUGGGCGUAAAGCGCACGUAGGCGGCUUUGUAAGUUAGAGGUGAAAGCCCGGGGCUCAACUCCGGAAUUGCCUUUAAGACUGCAUCGCUCGAAUUGUGGAGAGGUAAGUGGAAUUCCGAGUGUAGAGGUGAAAUUCGUAGAUAUUCGGAAGAACACCAGUGGCGAAGGCGACUUACUGGACACAUAUUGACGCUGAGGUGCGAAAGCGUGGGGAGCAAACAGG
rnacentral:rRNA from 1 species